AAAGAAGAGGAACACACCACAGCAAAAAUAAGACAUCUUCCAGUGUUUUGUUGUCCUGUGGUGAACCCAGAGAGAAAAAAUAGCAGUACUGUCUGCAAAGCCGCUUGACUUUACCUCGUACAUGGGUCACAGCUGAGCAUGUGUUUCAUGUCGUGAGUGGGCACUCCAACAUCGCCUUGAGAUUUCAUCCUGGAACAUAGAGGGUGAGCAGCAAUAAGUUCAGCCUAGGGUUUUCUGGGUCUGAAUCCACGUCUUCCACACUAAAACUUUCUGAGUUCACAGAGGAAGACCCUCAUGGAAAUCCACUGCGGAAUCCACAGUGCCCCUCAACUGCACUACUGUUCACCAGUUUCAGACUUGCCAUCACCACAGCGGGCAUCUGAGAUAUUGUCUGAACCUCAUCUGCACCCAUGAGAGACCAGAUCGAGGCAGACUGAUAGCUCUGACAGCUAGGUGCCUGUACCUACCUCAGGAAUGCAUAUGCACUAGUCUCAGGACACCAGUCCUCAUUCUGAGCUCUGGCUAGCAUCAUAAUGAAUGUCAUCAUUGCCUAGAGACAAGUUCCUGCCUCUUGAGGAAGAAGGAGACCUCCCUGUAGGUAUGUCGGCUGUGGACUCUUGCCUGUCUUCUCUGUGGGAUCCAAGAGAUAGUCCCAUGAUCCUACGAGACAGUAGAUGUGAACCAGCAAAAAGAAACAUCAAACAGAGGCCCAGGAAUAAAUUGCAAAAUCCCUAAGGAUCCAAAAGUCUGCAGGAUUCCUCAGGCCUGCCUAGAUGUUGUAGGGGUUCUACAUGUCAUGAAGGGCAACUCCUCCAUCAUUUCAGGAUUUUUUUUCUGGAACAGAGAGUGUGAGCAGCAAUAAGGACAGAUACAGGCUGGCCAACAGUUCUGACAGCCCGUCGCCCAAGUCUGCAUACUCUUAGGCACAAGGACUGAGCUGUGGGCUCGGGUUAGCAUCACAAUGAAGGCCACCAUUGCGUAGGCAUAAGUCUCUGCGGCUUUGCGGAGAAGAACUCUGUGGAGGUUAGUCAGUGGUGGACUCUCGCUUCAUUUCUCUGUGGGAUUCCCGUGAUAGUCCCAUGAGGCUAGGAGAGGGAGGAGGUGAGCCAGCCUGAAGAAAAGUCAAGCACAGUCCCAGGAAUAAGCCGCAAAACCCCUACAGAUCCAAAAGGACCUGGAGGAUGCCUAAGGCCUCCCGGACUUUGUCAGGCCUAGAGUUUCCUUGGUCUGGCUCAAUGUCUUCCAAACUCAGCCUUUCCCAGUUCAUGGAAAAUGACCCUCAAGGGAUUCCCUUGCAAAAGCUGCAUGAUUGCUGGAGGAUGUUUUAUUGUCCUACAGCCAACCCAAAAAUGGCACUACCAGUCAUGUUUCAGGGCCCCUUGAAUUAACCUCGAAUUAGGUUUCCAGAUGAGCAGGUGCUUCAUGUUGUGAAGGGGCCCUCCUCCAUCAUCCUAGAGUUUCAUUCUGGGACACAGAGUGUGAGCAGCAAUAAGAGUUGCACUCUGUUGCCUAGGCUGGAGUGCAGUGGCAUGAUCAGUCACUGCAAGCUCUACCUCCUGGGUUCAUGCCAUUCUCCUGCCUCAGCCUCCUGAGUAGCUGGGACUACAGGCUGGGUCCACAUUGCCCCUCAACAGCAUUACUGGACACCCUUGUCAGACUAGCAAUUUCCACAGACACCUUCUGUGAACAUUUUUCAACAUCAUCUGCAGCAGUGAGAGGCCAGUUUGAUGUGUAAGAAUACUGCUUGACUUUGGACUUGCCUUUGUCAUGGUUCCUGCUUUUCUCAUAGAUCUCCUGCCAGGACAAGGAUGAUAGGAGGCAAUGAAGUCAAGGGCCCAGCCCCAUUCACUGAAAGCUGCCUCUGGGAUCUCAGGUAUGAUUCCAUCACAUAAAAUCCCCUCAACAACUCACCAGACUAUAUUCCAAUCUCCGUGGGACCUGAUUCUUGCACAGCCUCUUUCAUGAAUGGAGCCAGAAGAGCAGUUUUCAGUGACCACCUCAGUUUGGAAAAGCCUCCUCCUUCAGUUGGUCUCAGCCACAGAGUCAUCCCGAAGGGGCUCUAAGGUCAAUAAUUUUAGGGUCCGACAGUUGAUUAUCACAGACAGACUUUUUCAUGAUAGCAGGUCAUCUGUGUCUAUAUCAUUUUCCUCUGCUUAGGCAGGCUGACAGCUCUGACAGCCAGGCACCUGAAUCUACCUGGCAAAUGUUCAUGCUCUAGUCUCAGUGCAAAAGACCUGUUUGGGAGUUCUGGCUAGUGUCACAAUAAAUGUUGGCAUUGCCUAGU